UUUAUUUUGAGACGGAAUUUCACUCUUGUUGCCCAGGCUGGAGUUCAAUGGUACAAUCUCGGCUCACCGCAACCUCUGCCUCCUGGGUUCAAGCGAUUCUCCGCCUCAGCCUCCCGAGUAGCUAGGAUUACAGGAAUAUGCCACCAUGCUGGGCUAAUUUUUUUUGUAUUUUUAGUAUAGAUGGGGUUUCUCCAUGUUGGUCAGGCUGGUCUCGAACUCCCGACCUCAGGUGAUCUGCCCGCCUUGGCCUCCCAAAGUGAUCCCACCUCAGCCUUCCGAGUAGCUGGGACUACAGGCGUGUCUACCGAGCCUGGCUAAUUUUUGUAUUAUUAUAGAGACAGGGUUUUGCCAUAUUGCCCAGGCUGGUCUCGAACUCCUGGGCUCAAAUAAUACCCUCCUUCGGCCUCCCAAAGUGUUGAGAUUACAGAUGCGAGCCGCUGUGCCCCACCAGGGAAUAAAAUUUUUUAAAACCCUAGUGCCAUAUGAUGAAGGGGCCCCUGCUUUUGAGGGAAGGGCUCCUGCCUUCUCUCACGCUUCUCUCCACCCCAGGUAUGAUCUCAUGUACCAGUGCUGGAGUGCUGACCCCAAGCAGCGCCCGAGCUUUACUUGUCUGCGAAUGGAACUGGAGAACAUCUUGGGCCAGCUGUCUGUGCUAUCCGCCAGCCAGGACCCCUUAUACAUCAACAUUGAGAGAGCUGAGGAGCCCACUGCGGGAGGCAGCCUGGAGCUACCUGGCGGGGAUCAGCCCUACAGUGGGGCUGGGGAUGGCAGUGGCAUGGGGGCAGUGGGUGGCACUCCCAGUGACUAUCGGUACAUACUCACCCCCGGAGGGCUGGCUGAGCAGCCAAGGCAGGCAGAGCACCAGCCAGAGAGUCCCCUCAAUGAGACACAGAGGCUUUUGCUGCUGCAGCAAGGGCUACUGCCACACAGUAGCUGUUAGCCCACAGGCAGAGGGCAUCGGGGCCAUUUGGCCGGCUCUGCUGGCCACUGAGCUGGCUGACUAAGCCCCAUCUGACCCCAGCCCAGACAGCAAGGUGUGGAGGCUCCUGUGGUAGUCCUCCCAAGCUGUGCUGGGAAGCCUGGACUGACCAAAUCACCCAAUCCCAGUUCUUCCUGCAACCACUCUGUGGCCAGCCUGGCAUCAGUUUAGGCCUUGACUUGAUGGAAGUGGGCCAGUCCUGGUUGUCUGAACCCAGGCAGCUGGCAGGAGCGGGGUGGUUAUGUUUCCAUGGUUACCAUGGGUGUGGAUGGCAGUGGGGGGAGGGCAGGUCUAGCCCUGUGGGCCCUACCCUCCUGCUGAGCUGCCCCUGCUGCUUAAGUGCAUGCAUUGAGCUGCCUCCAGCCUGGUGGCCCAGCUAUUACCACACUUGGGGUUUAAAUACCCAGGUGUGCCCCUCCAAGUCACAAAGAGAUGUCCUUGUAAUAUUCCCUUUUAGGUGAGGGUUGGUAAGGGGUUGGUAUCUCAGGUCUAAAUCUUCACCAUCUUUCUGAUUCCGCACCCUGCCUAGGCCAGGAGAAGUUGAGGGGACCAUGCUUCCCUGCAGCUGACCGGGUCACACAAAGGCAUGCUGGAGUCCCCAGGCUAUCAGGUGCCCCUCUUCCAAAGGCAGCGUGCCGAGCCAGCAAGAGGAAGGGGUGCUGUGAGGCUUGCCCAGGAGCAAGUGAGGCCAGAGAGGAGUUCAGGAGCCCCUCUCCAUACCCACAAUCUGAGCACGCUACCAAAUCUCAAAAUAUCCUAAGACUAACAAAGGCAGCUGUGUCUGAGCCCAACCCUUCUAAAUGGUGACCUUUAGUGCCAACUUCCCCUCUAACUGGACAGCCUCUUCUGUCCCAAGUCUCCAGAGAGAAAUCAGGCCUGAUGAGGGGGAGUUCCUGGAACCUGGAUCCCAGCCUUGGUGGGGGAGCCUCUGGAAUGCGCGGGGCGGGUCCUAGCUGUUAGGGACAUUUCCAAGCUGUUAGUUGCUGUUUAAAAUAGAAAUAAAAUUGAAGACUAAAGACCUAA
rnacentral:sRNA from 1 species